rnacentral:lncRNA from 1 species
UUCAAUGAGAGAGCAUGUUUGACAGCAUUUUAGAAUUGUUGACGUGGGAAGGAAAAAGCGUGAAAAAAGAGGGAAAAGCAGGAACACUAAUUGCUGGUAUUUCUUUUCACCCAAAACCGCUCAUUAUCUCUACGCAUUCGUCCCCAAAUCUGAGUGGCCACAAACGACGCGACUUCAAAUUUUUCGGCGACGACGAACAAUCAUCGUUACACCACCAGACCCCCUCCGACAGCAAUAGACACCACCGAACUACUUCCUUCGUGUUGGGUAAGUAAAAAAAUAGAGCAGACCUGUAGAAUUAAUUACAGAUAUUUAUGAAUUGAUACUUUAUAAUAUUGUUAGGCUUUUGAAUUUUGAAUUCUACAUUGGUUGCAAAAUUUCAAUGCUGGAAAGGUGAUAGUCGAUGCUUUUUAUUUUAUUUUUUUCAAUCUAUGAUUGAAGACGAUUUCUAAAUUGUGUUUC